GACGAACGCUGGCGGCGUGCUUAACACAUGCAAGUCGAGCGGUAAGGCCCUUUCGGGGGUACACGAGCGGCGAACGGGUGAGUAACACGUGGGUGACCUGCCUUUAGCUCUGGGAUAAGCCUGGGAAACCGGGUCUAAUACCGGAUAUGACUCCGCGGCGCAUGUUGUGGGGUGGAAAGCCUUGUGCGGCUGGAGAUGGGCCCGCGGCCUAUCAGCUUGUGGUGGGGUGAUGGCCUACCAAGGCGACGACGGGUAGCCGGCCUGAGAGGGCGACCGGCCACACUGGGACUGAGACACGGCCCAGACUCCUACGGGAGGCAGCAGUGGGGAAUCUUGCGCAAUGGGCGAAAGCCUGACGCAGCGACGCCGCGUGAGGGAUGAC
rnacentral:rRNA from 1 species